CCCAUGGGCUCUCCCCAUCCUCCUCCUCCCCCCUCAGAGCCCCGGGGCCCUUUCUCUUCGUCAUCUCCUCAGAGUCCUCCAUUGCCCUCCCUGCCCCUUGUGGCACCCCCACCAGAACCCAUGAAAUACACUGCAGUGGUAGUUAUGGAACAACCUGACCCAGUGAAUGUUCCUUCUGAAGUCAGAGGUUGGCGUGUGCUCUGAAGCAGCAGUGUACAUUGACUAGCACAGAGACAAGAACAGAUCCCCCUGGGCUCGCACUAGAAACACACCAUUGGAUGCUGAUUCCCUGUUUACAAUUACUUUUUGAGAUCUUUGGGUCUGUAUGUAACCCAUUAAACAGAUGCUACAUUGAGUUAUGUAACCCUGAUUUGUUAAUCAGAAUAUCAUGUGGUAUUAAAUCAUAGGCUUUACAG